UUUUUUUGAUGGGAACGUUCUAAAAGAUAACGAAGGCGUCCUCAGAAGAACUUGAAGUGAAGCACACCUCCCUCAGUCCGGCAAGCGGUCUAACCCAGACAGAAGGCUACAAAGAGAUGUGCAAUAAGGAAAAGUAUCCCUCUUCAGCACACUGUGAAAAGGACAAAGACAUUUAUGUGUGAAAUGUUUGUCUCCCCUUUUUAGAUCAUUUCAAGGCUCACAAUCAGUAUAAAAUUAACCAUUGUAAAAAUGAAAA